rnacentral:rRNA from 1 species
UACGUAGGGUGCGAGCGUUAAUCGGAAUUACUGGGCGUAAAGUGUGCGCAGGCGGCCGAGCAAGUCGAGUGUGAAAGCCCCGGGCUUAACUUGGGAAUUGCGCUCGAAACUACUUGGCUAGAGUGUGGCAGAGGAAGGUGGAAUUCCACGUGUAGCGGUGAAAUGCGUAGAGAUGUGGGGGAACACCGAUGGCGAAGGCAGCCUUCCUGGGCCAACACUGACGCUCAUGCACGAAAGCGUGGGGAGCAAACAGG